AGUGCCCAUCUCUGAGGUGGACAGAUGCCAACCGGGACAUCGUGUAUCGUGUAACAUAUUUCAGCUCGAGGCUCAGAAAUGUCACAGGAUCCGCAGAAUCCUUGAAGAACAGAGAGGACCUCAGCUUCUGAUGUGUCACUCAAAGGAGAGGAUCAUCCCCUGUUCACUGUAAGGGUUGGGUUUGGCAGCAGGGAUGAAUCAUAGCUGGCAGCUAACAAGGUCUUGUCCACUGCUGGAGAUACCACCAAGAUAUUGGAAAUCUGUGGCACAGCUGAAUCUUUUCUGUCUGUAACAAAACUCUGUGUUCAGACUGGAUGAAGGGCCCAGGAAGGUUGACUGAGAACUCUUCUGUCGAAGGCAUUUUUCCAGAUGGCUUUU